AGGGGAGCAGUACUUUUGACAAGACGUAUCUUUAAACUUGUCAUGGAGUUGCUCUCUUGA
rnacentral:pre_miRNA from 1 species